AACGAACGCUGGCGGCAGGCUUAACACAUGGAAGUCGAGCGCCCCGCAAGGGGAGCGGCAGACGGGUGAGUAACGCGUGGGAAUCUACCCAUCUCUACGGAAUAACGCAUGGAAACGUGUGCUAAUACCGUAUACGUCCUUCGGGAGAAAGAUUUAUCGGAGAUGGAUGAGCCCGCGUUGGAUCAGCUAGUUGGUGGGGUAAAGGCCUACCAAGGCGACGAUCCAUAGCUGGUCUGAGAGGGUGAUCAGCCACACUGGGACUGAGACACGGCCCAGACUCCUACGGGAGGCAGCAGUGGGGAAUAUUGGACAAUGGGCGCAAGCCUGAUCCAGCCAUGCCGCGUGAGUGAUGAAGGCCCUAGGGUUGUAAAGCUCUUUCACCGGUGAAGAUAAUGACGGUAACCGGAGAAGAAGCCCCGGCUAACUUCGUGCCAGCCGCCGCCGUAAAAC
rnacentral:rRNA from 1 species